GCCACGAAUUGUGUCCUAGAUGACGUUUGUCCUUUGAAAAGUUCUCCAGAACUGGUAUGACCUUGCAAUGUUCAGUUUGAGAGAGGGAAAGGUAGCGACGGUACGAUGUUUUAACGUUAAAGAUGAAUAAUCCUCCUAGGUUGGAACACAUAAAUAGAUUAAGAAUAUAAUCAAACGAACUAUAUAAAUUACGGAACGGUGUAACAGAAUACUCCCCGUCUGAUGUCUAUCUGAUAUCACUUUUCCAUAACUUAAUCGCAUAUGAAUAUAUGAAAUAAAUAAAAUCCGAACAUAAAUUGAUUAUGUACAAGAGUAAUGUCCACUAUUGGUCGUAUGAGAAAUGUCAGGUUUCAACUUCCGGCAUUUCACUAUAAAGUUUCCAGAAUAGAUUAAUUCC
rnacentral:lncRNA from 1 species